GUGACGUCAUACAGAGUGCGCUGGUUUUCGUAGUGAAUGAAACGAUUUGAACAAGUUGAAGAACAACGAGAUUACUUUUCAGUUAUUUCAGGUGUUCCUGUAGUACUUUACGCUAAACAGACUUCAUAUCAAACUACCUUCAGUGAAGCCAUUUCGUCUCCAAUUCAUCUAUAAAUGCUGCAGACAUCACAUUCCACUACUCGACUAUUCUCAUCCAGUGGUGUAAUGAUGGAGUGUGUUUAAAGAGGAGAGUGAUGCAGAAUCACGCACAAUGGCCCUCAUUCAUCAAAGGAGCGUAGGAACCAGCGUACAUCAUAGCGAAAAAAUCUGCUUACGACUACACUCAGGUGUCAUUCGUUAAACUUUUGUGUGCGUCUAAUUCCGUCGGACGAAUGAACGGGUGUUGAUAAGUGCUGCCCCCAGGCUUUACGACAUGGAGAGGCGAAACCUGACAAAGAAACGGAAUUUUUCCGAACUGGAGAUUGAGACGCUAACGACACAAGUUGGAAACCACAGCCUUGUACUAUUCGGGAGUUUAAAGAGUGGUAUCAAAGGAGGUCACAAGAAAGCAAUUUGGAAGAAAAUCACUGAUGUGGUAAACAGUGUUGGCAUAGAGAGCCGAACACCAGCUGAGGU